rnacentral:lncRNA from 1 species
UAAGCACGCUUUUCAAGCAGGGACCAUCACUGCCUUGGAGAGGUCCCAGACCUACCCGCUGAGGCUGGGAGGAGGACCUGUUGUUUUUUGUGCAUUAAAUAUCCCCCUGCAGUGCUGGCAGCCAUAAUAUGGCAGCUCUGACAACACGAAAGUGAAACUCAUUCCAGUAACCUGAAACUGAUGCUAGUGACUUUCCAUUAGCCAAGCUGAGAGAAACAAUCAAAAAAGUGUAUUGCUAAUAGAGCCCUGAAUGAUACAGAAGGAAUGAGUUAUGACUGAUAGAGCCAAUACCACAGUUUUUGGCAAGACUGAUGUCUGUUACCUUAUGGUUCGAACAUCUCAAGAGACUUGCCAUUAUUUGCCAGGAAAAGACAGUGCAGUGGAGACAAGCCGCCCCUCAAGGGAAGUGGUGUAACUGCUGUGCUCCCAUGCCCUGCGCUACAAAGCCCGGGUGGACCUCCCAAGCCUCCUCGGACUCAGAGGAGCCCUCGUUGUUCCGACG